GGAGCAGUGGUGACCCCGUGGUAACAGCGUAGUUCUGUGCAUUGUGAUACCGUAGGAAAUGUUCCUUUGCUGAAAACUGAGUAAAAGGACUAAGCUUUUGGAAAAGGAGCAACUCCAUUAAGAUGGACGGUCUCCAGCAGAAGGAGGAAGAGCAUAGAACAUAUCAGAAAAAAACUUUGCCAUAAAGGUAGGAUAGGUAAGUGAAUGAAUAGGAUAUGAAGGGAAGUAGAGAACUGAAGUCAUAA
rnacentral:lncRNA from 1 species